rnacentral:rRNA from 1 species
UUUACACAUGCAAGUCGAACGGAAACGAAAAUAGCUUGCUAUUUGGCGUCGAGUGGCGAACGGGUGAGUAACGCGUAGGAAUCUACCCAGUAGAGGGGGAUAGCCCGAAGAAAUUCGGAUUAAUACCGCAUAUUCUCUAAGGAGAAAAGAAGGCCUCUUUACAAUGCUUUUACUAUUGGAUGAGCCUGCGUUAGAUUAGUUAGUUGGUAGGGUAAAAGCCUACCAAGGCGACGAUCUAUAGCUGGUUUUACGAGAAUGAUCAGCCACACUGGAACUGAGACACGGUCCAGACUCCUACGGGAGGCAGCAGUGAAGAAUAUUGGACAAUGGGGGAAACCCUGAUCCAGCAAUGUUGCGUGUGUGAAGAAGGUCCGAGGAUUGUAAAGCACUUUCAGUAAGCAAGAAAAGUGUAAAUCUAAUAGAUUUGCAUAUUGACCACUUAUAGAAGAAGCACCGGCUAACUCCGUGCCAGCAGCCGCGGUAAUACGGAGGGUGCGAGCGUUAAUCGGAAUUACUGGGCGUAAAGGGUAAGUAGGCGGUUUAUAAAGUCACAUGUGAAAGCCCUAGGCUUAACCUANG